GGAGAAAACUCACUUUCCAGAGCCAACCAGGCUUCCGAAGCUGUCGUGCCAAGAAAAAGAAACCAUGCCACUCCCCUACAAGACAGAAAAGGAAGGACUGUGAGAACAACGCAGGAGGAGUGGCCAUGGCCACAAGAAGACAUGACACCAUGUGCAGACAAGGACAACAAGUGAGUGAAACAGUCUUCACAGAAAAGGGGAACCCAAGACGGCUAAAAUGAAGAAGACUGACCAUACCGAGUGUUGGCAAGGAUACGGAGGAAGAGAAUCCGCACGCACUGCUGGUGAGAACAGAAAAUGAUACAACCACUUUGGAAAAACAGUUCAACAUGCCCCCACCACGUGUCCCAGACAUUUAAUUCCGAGAGAAAAGGAAGUGCAAUGUCCAUACAAAGACUUGAACACAAAUGUUCAUAGCACCUUUACUUGUAAGAGCCUCAAACUGGACACAACCCAAAUGUCCACCCACAGAGGAAUGAGGGAAAAAAUGUGGCACAUCACUACAAUGGACUAC